UCUUUGUCUGGUAUUACGUGGUUAAUGAGUUUUACGAAAUAUGCUGAAGAUAUUUUAAGUCCAUACGGUAAACGUAUGAAUUGGUAGACACGCCCAUCGAUUUGGAAAGCACAAUAUUUACGAAAAGAUUCUUCGAGAACGAUUUGCCAGAAACCCGCAACGAAAUCUAACGAACUGAAAAACUUGGCUUCUGGGUAUUCUGUGAGUAUCCUAUCUAGUAAUCCAGCUUCGUUGUAAUCUUCUUCUAGAAUUGGGUUUAGGUCCACAGGAUUUAGACAUAUUCGCAUGUCACCAUUUUUCUUGAUGUUAAUUACGAUAGGAUUAAUGAAUUUAGAAUUGGAUGGUUCAAUUACGUUUGUUGCAAGCAUGAUUUGGAUUUCUUUCUUGAUGGCUUCCAUCAUCUUUUUAGAUGGAUUGUAUUUACCACUUCGAUAAACUAUCUUGUUUUGCGGAGUAUUGAACACCAAUUUAGAUUUCUUUCCUUUAUAACGACCUGGGAAUUUGCUAAAAAUGUCUUUGUAAGGUGAUAGGAUAUUGUAGGCGUAAUCAGCUUGUUGUUGAGUUAAUCGUUGUUCUGAUACUGCUUCGUCUAAGUCAGCUUUUAAUUUCUUAAUAAAUGUUUCAGGUCCAGUAUCUUUAACACCAUCGGGUAAAGAGUAGAAUCUGCGAGCGGUGUCAGCUCGGUUCAAAAUGGCAUACAUUUCGUCGACAUAUUGCGAUCCUAUUGUAAUGUUGUUAAUUGCAAGUUUGUCUGCAUAUUCGUGGAAUUGUAGAAUUGGGAUACUUUCGAUGUCGUGUUCGGGGGUACGAUUAUAUAUUCCGAGGUGGUUACUACUUGUUUGUUCGCCAUCAUGCAUUGAACUGAUAUAACGUUAAGGACUGCCCCAGUGUCAAGUUGGGUUGGGAAGUCCGUUUCACCAAUUUGGAGAUUGACUACGCACGUUUGUGGCAUCAUCCGUCGCUGUAUUAAUUGGGAAACUACCGAAGGAGUUUCAUCGUUGCUCAGGGUUGAAUUUUUU